rnacentral:rRNA from 1 species
GUGAGGUAACGGCUCACCAAGGCAACGACGGGUAGCUGGUCUGAGAGGACGAUCAGCCACACUGGGACUGAGACACGGCCCAGACUCCUACGGGAGGCAGCGGCAGGGAAUUUUGCACAAUGGGCGCAAGCCUGAUGCAGCGACGCCGCGUGAGGGAUGAAGGCCUUCGGGUUGUAAACCUCUUUCAGGAGGGACGAAGCGCAAGUGACGGUACCUCCAGAAGAAGCCCCGGCCAACUACGUGCCAGCAGCCGCGGUAAUACGUAGGGGGCGAGCGUUGUCCGGAUUCAUUGGGCGUAAAGGGCUCGUAGGCGGCUCAGUAAGUCGGCCGUGAAAGCCCAGGGCUCAACCCUGGGAGGCCGGUCGAUACUGCUGUGGCUAGGGUCCGGUAGAGGAGAGUGGAAUUCCCGGUGUAGCGGUGAAAUGCGCAGAUAUCGGGAGGAACACCAGUAGCGAAGGCGGCUCUCUGGGCCGGUACCGACGCUGAGGAGCGAAAGCUAGGGGAGCAAGCAGGAUUAGAUACCCUGGUAGUCCUAGCCGUAAACGUUGGGCACUAGGUGUGGCGGAUUCAUUGACAUCUGCCGUGCCGUAGCUAACGCAUUAAGUG